rnacentral:rRNA from 1 species
UGGGGAAUCUUGCGCAAUGGGCGAAAGCCUGACGCAGCGACGCCGCGUGGGUGAUGAAGGCCUUCGGGUUGUAAAGCCCUGUGGGGAGAGACGAAUAAGUUCGAGCCAACACCUCGAGCGAUGACGGUAUCUCCUUAGCAAGCACCGGCUAACUCUGUGCCAGCAGCCGCGGUAAGACAGAGGGUGCGAACGUUGUUCGGAAUUACUGGGCGUAAAGCGCAUGUAGGCGGCCGAGCAGGUCGGAUGUGAAAGCCCUGGGCUCAACCCAGGAAGUGCAUUCGAAACCGCUCGGCUCGAGUCCCGGAGAGGAAGUUGGAAUUCUCGGUGUAGAGGUGAAAUUCGUAGAUAUCGGGAGGAACACCGGCGGCGAAAGCGGACUUCUGGACGAGGACUGACGCUGAGAUGCGAAAGCGUGGGGAGCAAACAG